rnacentral:rRNA from 1 species
AAAGCGGAAUUCCUAGUGUAGCGGUGAAAUGCGUAGAUAUUAGGAGGAACACCAGUGGCGAAGGCGGCUUUCUGGACAGUAACUGACGCUGAGGCGCGAAAGCGUGGGUAGCGAACAGGAUUAGAUACCCUGGUAGUCCACGCCGUAAACGAUGGAUACUAGGUGUAGGAGGUAUCGACCCCUUCUGUGCCGGAGUUAACACAAUAAGUAUCCCACCUGGGGAGUACGGCCGCAAGGUUGAAACUCAAAGGAAUUGACGGGGGCCCGCACAAGCAGUGGAGUAUGUGGUUUAAUUCGAAGCAACGCGAAGAACCUUACCAGGGCUUGACAUACCAUUGACGUACUUAGAGAUAGGUAUUUCCUUCGGGACAAUGGAUACAGGUGGUGCAUGGUUGUCGUCAGCUCGUGUCGUGAGAUGUUGGGUUAAGUCCCGCGACGAGCGCAACCCCUGUUGUUAGUUGCCAUCAUUAAGUUGGGCACUCUAGCGAGACUGCCGGUGACAAAUCGGAGGAAGGUGGGGACGACGUCAAAUCAUCAUGCCCCUUAUGUCCUGGGCUACACACGUACUACAAUGGCUAUUACAGAGGGAAGCGAAGCCGCGAGGUGGAGCAAAUCUCCAAAAAUAGUCCCAGUUCAGAUUGUAGGCUGAAACUCGCCUACAUGAAGUCGGAAUUGCUAGUAAUGGCAGGUCAGCAUACUGCCGUGAAUACGUUCCCGGGCCUUGUACACACCGCCCGUCACACCAUGAGAGUCUGCAACACCCGAAGUCAGUAGUCUAACUUUUUAAGAGGACGCUGCCGAAGGUGGGGCCGAUGAUUGGGGUGAAGUCGUAACAAGGUAACCGUA